GACGUAGGGCGCGAGCGUUGUCCGGAUUUAUUGGGCGUAAAGAGCUCGUAGGCGGUUUGUCGCGUCGUUCGUGAAAACUCACAGCUCAACUGUGAGCUUGCGGUCGAUACGGGCAGGCUAGAGUUCGGUAGGGGGGACUGGAAUUCCUGGUGUAGCGGUGAAAUGCGCAGAUAUCAGGAGGAACACCGGUGGCGAAGGCGGGUCUCUGGGCCGAUACUGACGCUGAGGAGCGAAAGCGUGGGGAGCGAACAGG
rnacentral:rRNA from 1 species